CGUGGAGCUUCGGCCUUCGUCGCUUGUGAUACCUUUGCUUCUGGGGCGUACUUUUUCGUGUGGUAGGUCAACAUCGGUUUUGAUUACCAUAAAAUGACCGGAGGAAUGUGGCUUCGAUCUUGUAUUGGAGUGUUAUAGCCUCUGGUAGAUGUGGUGGUUGGGAUCGAGGAUUGCAACGAAUACCCUUUGGGCUAUCCGCCUGACCUCUGAAAGUCGCUUGGGUACCGAAAGCUUGCUUAUGGUCAUUCAAGUUGGCGGUCAAAAGGUUAGAACGUGAUUAAA
rnacentral:rRNA from 1 species